CUACCAAAGGCUUCAACUGGAAUUUCGUGAUGUCACGGUCCAAAAAUCAGGCAAGUCCACUCCAUGUAAGGAUCACCAAAAGCAAGGGCCCCACACCCUUGGCUUAUUAUUAUUAUUUUUAUUUUUCUUACCAAUCUUCAUUGCUUCAAUAUAACGAAGGGUUUCCAUAAUGUUUGACUUGUAUUAUGUAUUUAUCUUUGGUUGUAAGAUGCUUAUUCAAAGUGGAAGUAACUAUAUAGAGUGUAGGCUCAGGGGUCCACAAUGCUUACAUGGAUGCAUGAUCAAAGCUGCUCAUCAGAGGGGGGCUUUGCUGCUUCAUAUGGGGAUGGAUAUGGACUUCAUUCGGGUGGUGCUGACAAAGGUCCUCUAUAUGGCAUGAGUUCUGGUUCUUGGGGUGCAUUUGAGAAGUCUCGCCUCGGGUGUCGCUGAAGUCCGUUGAUUUUUUUUCCUUUUUUUUUCCUUGUGUCUCAAUCUGUAAAUUUUCUGUCCAUUAUGUAACCUUUCAUUCUCAGGCCCCCUAUAAAUGAGGCUGAUUGUAAAUGAUUUAUAGGUUGUGUUUGAAUGCUAAUUUAAUCUUGUACAGGUCAUUUGAUUUAGAAGA